UACGGGGGGGGCAAGCGUUGUUCGGAAUUACUGGGCGUAAAGGGCUCGUAGGCGGCCAACUAAGUCGGACGUGAAAUCCCCAGGCUCAACCUGGGAACUGCGUCCGAUACUGGAUGGCUUGAAUUCGGGAGAGGGAUGCAGAAUUCCAGGUGUAGCGGUGAAAUGCGUAGAUAUCUGGAGGAAUACCGGUGGCGAAGGCGGCAUCCUGGACCACAACUGACGCUGAGGCGCGAAAGCUAGGGGAGCAAACAGG
rnacentral:rRNA from 1 species